AGUGAACGCUGGCGGUAGGCCUACACAUGCCAGUUCAACGGCAGCACAGUAAGAGCUUGCCCUUACGGGUGGCGAGUGGCGGACGGGUGAGGAAUACAUCGGAAUCUACUUUUUCGUGGGGGAUUACGGAGGGAAACUUACGCUAAUACCGCAUACGACCUACGGGUGAAAGCAGGGGAUCUUUGGACCUUGCGCGAUUGAAUGAGCCGAUGUCGGAUUAGCUAGUUGGCGGGGUAAAGGCCCACCAAGGCGACGAUCCGUAGCUGGUCUGAGAGGAUGAUCAGCCACACUGGAACUGAGACACGGUCCAGACUCCUACGGGAGGCAGCAGUGGGGAAUAUUGGACAAUGGGCGCAAGCCUGAUCCAGCCAUACCGCGUGGGUGAAGAAGGCCUUCGGGUUGUAAAGCCCUUUUGUUGGGAAAGAAAAGCAGCAGGUUAAUACCCCGCUGUUCUGACGGUACCCAAAGAAUAAGCACCGGCUAACUUCGUG
rnacentral:rRNA from 1 species